ACAGUACGUGAAAUUGUUGAAAGGGAAGCGCUUGUGACCAGACUUGGGCCCGGUUAAUCAUCCAGCGUUCUCGCUGGUGCACUUGGCCGGCCCAGGCCAGCAUCAGUUCGGCGCGGGGGAUAAAGGCUUCGGGAAUGUGGCUCCCCCGGGAGUGUUAUAGCCCGUUGUGUAAUACCCUGCACUGGACUGAGGUUCGCGCAUCUGCAAGGAUGCUGGCGUAAUGGUCAUCAGCGACCCGUCUUGAAACACGGACCAAGGAGUCGUCUUUGUAUGCGAGUGUUCGGGUGUUAAACCCCUACGCGUAAUGAAAGUGAACGCAGGUGAGAGCUUCGGCGCAUCAUCGACCGAUCCUGAUGUUCUCGGAUGGAUUUGAGUAAGAGCAUACGGGGCCGGACCCGAAAGAAGGUGAACUAUGCCUGUAUAGGGUGAAGCCAGAGGAAACUCUGGUGGAGGCUCGCAGCGGUUCUGACGUGCAAAUCGAUCGUCAAAUUUGGGUCAUGGGGGCGAAAGACUAAU
rnacentral:rRNA from 1 species